AUGGGGUGCUGCACCUCGUCGCAGAAGAAGGGCGCCGCGGCGGGGGACAGGAGGAAGGAGCCCGCCGAGAAGCCGUCCCAGAUCGCGCCGGCCGCCUCGCCGUCGCCCACGCCCUCGCCAUCAGCUGAGAUGUCAAGAUUAGAGGCCAGUCAGGGGGCCGUGCGCACUAAGUUGAUCUCAAGCCCUGGUCUGCAUACCAAUCGCCUAUCUUUCACCUACGAGGAGCUGAAUGCGGCGACAUUGGGCUUCCCACGAGAUCACUUUCUAGGAGAGGGUGGGUUCGGAAAGGUUUAUAAAGGUGUGCUGGACGGUAACGAGGUUGCUAUAAAGAUUCUCAACCCCAAUGGAUUGCAAGGGAACAGAGAGUUCUGCACAGAAGUUAUGGUGUUGAGCAGGAUGCAUCACCCGAAUCUCGUCAAGCUUGUUGGCUUCUGCACUGAUGAUGAUCAGAGGCUUUUAGUCUAUGAAUACAUGCCUCUGGGUUCAUUGGAAACUCAUAUUUUUGAUCUUCCCCCUAAUAAGAAGCCUCUUGACUGGAAUACAAGGAUAAAUAUACUUGCUGGGGCAGCUCAAGGACUGAAGCAUUUGCAUGUUAACUGCAACCCUCCUAUCAUAAACCGUGACGUGAAGUGUGCGAAUAUUUUGCUUGGUGAGGAAUAUCAUCCAAAGCUGGCCGACUUUGGCUUGGCAAAGCUAGGUCCGACUGGCGACGAUACUCAUGUUUCAACUAGAGUGAUGGGUACACCUGGGUAUUGUGCGCCGGAGUAUCUUGAGAGCGGUCAGUUGACUAUCAAGUCAGAUGUUUACAGCUUUGGUGUUGUCAUACUGGAGGUAAUCACAGGAAGAAAGGCUUUAGAUCAGAGUCGAAUCAAAGCUGAGCGUAGCCUUGCUGAAUGGGCCACCCCUUUGAUCAACCGGAGGGAUUUUGCAAUGUUGGCAGAUCCAGCACUUGGCAAUCAGUACAACAUGACAUCACUGUACCAAGUCCUUUCCGUUGCUCGAAUGUGCCUGAAUACAACAGCCAGCCAGAGACCUCAGAUUACAGACGUAGCUGCCGCUCUCGCUCACAUCUCAAAGUCCAGAAGAACGCGGCGACCAGCCCACCAGCAGUCAGCAGCUCAAGUUCACCAACCCGGGGAAGAUAUAUAA
rnacentral:rRNA from 1 species